UUUAUGGAGAGUUUGAUCCUGGCUCAGGAUGAACGCUGGCGGCGUGCCUAAUACAUGCAAGUCGAGCGAACGGACGAGAAGCUUGCUUCUCUGAUGUUAGCGGCGGACGGGUGAGUAACACGUGGAUAACCUACCUAUAAGACUGGGAUAACUUCGGGAAACCGGAGCUAAUACCGGAUAAUAUUUUGAACCGCAUGGUUCAAAAGUGAAAGACGGUCUUGCUGUCACUUAUAGAUGGAUCCGCGCUGCAUUAGCUAGUUGGUAAGGUAACGGCUUACCAAGGCAACGAUGCAUAGCCGACCUGAGAGGGUGAUCGGCCACACUGGAAC
rnacentral:rRNA from 1 species